rnacentral:rRNA from 1 species
UACAGAGGGGGCAAGCGUUAUUCGGAAUUAUUGGGCGUAAAGAGCGCGCAGGCGGUCGUUCAAGUCGCGUGUGAAAGCCCCCGGCUCAACUGGGGAGGGUCACGCGAUACUGAUCGACUCGAAGGCAGGAGAGGGUAGUGGAAUUCCCGGUGUAGUGGUGAAAUGCGUAGAUAUCGGGAGGAACACCAGUGGCGAAGGCGACUACCUGGCCUGUUCUUGACGCUGAGGCGCGAAAGCUAGGGGAGCAAACGGG